AGCCCAGCACCGCAGUACCAUGUCGCCGUCCUCCUUGCGUCCACGCAAGCAACCAGGCGGACGGCAAGCCCUCUCUCAGCCACGCCUCCUCCUCCUGACCUCGCCUAGCCCUACCGUGGUGAAGCAGAGACGCCGCGCGGGGAAAUAAUCAGGAGUAAGAAAAUCCGCCCUGAUUUAUAGAAUCUUGAAGGGGAGGUGGUGCCAUGGGGAUACUACUGGUUUCCGGGAAAUUCUUGGCGCGGCGACCUCCCCUCUCACUCGCCCCUCGCUGCUCCCGAGGCUCCCCUGACAAGGGCGGCAGCGAUAAAGGUGACACAUCAUCCACCGACUGGGACAAGGCUUGGUCUACCUUUAAGAAGAAAGGAAAGAAGACCUUAUUUUCCGAGUUCUCACCGAACAAGUAUGUGACCUGGAAUCCACAGCGCAGCGAGUAUCCAUUGUCAGAAGAGGUUGAUCCAAUCAAAAGAGCUGAGAAGUCUAACUUGAUGCUGUGGACGAGUCCAACAUUUACCUUGGUAGGGGCGAUUAUCAUCGUCUUGGCAUUGCUAAUCUAUACACUGGUUGUGCCAGCCAAGUAACUGCUCAAGUGACAGAUAGGAGAUCUUGCAGUGAAACCCUUGAAUGAUAUGCAAUCUAAAUAAAUAUGAUCAGGACCAUCUCAUCUCGUCCUUUAAGACUUGGUCGUUGCAUCUUUAUUGAGCAUCUUGGAACAAGUCAGACAGAGGCCUUCAUCUUUCCCUCCAAAAAAAUGGAUUUUCAUCCUUUAGACUUUGGACGAUCGACAAGUUUUCACUCUCAUCUGGGAUGUGGCAGUUAUUGUCUAAUGAGCAAGUGGCCAUUUGUAAGCGUCUAAACUGACACCUAUGAAUCUGAAUGGAAAAAUUGUCCAUAUUGAGAGCGAAGACUUUUCUUCCUUGUGAACAGAAUAAGAUUGGUCAGUGGUCGCAAGCUCAGUGUGGAAUUCAAGUCAACAGCUCCCUGGACGUACAUAUAGUUAUCUUGUAACAUCUCUGUCCAUCUGCUGCUGUAUUUUAGUUCGCUGAUUAUGUACCGUUGUACAGCUUAACCUGCAGAUUUUACUUAUUUUAUACUUGUGUUUCGACACUUGUUGUGUCCAUGGCCAACAAAGAGAACCUGACCUGCAUAAUUUAAGUACUGAACAGUGCUGGAAGAUGUGGUCCAGAAAAUCAGUAUUUUCUUCUCA